UGCAGAGGCAGGCAGCCAUCAAUCCUUGUUCCUCAAGCCAGGAUGAAGACAUUUUUUUUACUCCUCAACAGCCUGACCCUCCUGCUUCAGUUCCUAAUGAGGACAGAGAUUAUCCUCUUUUGGAAUUGUAUCACUCUGCCUCUGAAGAGCAGGAAGAGGAGCAGUUCAAUUUGGAAGACACUCCUCUAGAAUUCCAG